rnacentral:hammerhead_ribozyme from 1 species
ACAAUUCUGAAGAGUCCCUUAAUAGGACGAAACAGCUGUCCAAUGU